ensembl:lncRNA
CUCCAUCGCUCGUGGCUUCACUGAGGCAGCGUUGACCCUCCACAGGUCUCUCCGUGGGGCCUUCCCUCCGGGCACCACCUUCCCAUGUGGGACUUCACCCAGGGAAGAGGACUCCCCAGAGAGGACCUUCUUCUCUCGGCCCCCGCUGCGGGAGAAGCUGAGCCGUCACUCUGGUGUUGUUGCUGGAGCUGGUUCCUUGUUGACCAUGGACCCCGGGUCUCUGGGCUCUGGCCCAGGUUCCAGCCCGCAUGGCCCAGAUGUACAACGGGUUGAGUCCCUGACCGACACCCUGCCUUCGCCGGUGAUCGAUCACAGCCACUCAGCGACGCUUGUGGCUUCCCAGCUGCAGCCUCAGCCACGAGCCCUCCAGUCCGGGCUCUGGCUGAAGGCCCUGCACCUCCUCCUGGCCCUGAAGGGGCUUGUCUGCUCCUUCCCGUGGGUCCAGCCGGUGCUGCAGCUCCAGAGAAGCCUGUUGAGGAGCUCUGGAUCCGCCACACAGGACCUGCUGGCUCUCCUGGCCUCCAUCGCUCGUGGCUUCACUGAGGCAGCGUUGACCCUCCAAAGGUCUCUCCGUGGGGCCUUCCCUCCGGGCACCACCUUCCCAUGUGGGACUUCACCCAGGGAAGAGGACUCCACAGAGAGGACCUUCUUCUCUCGGCCCCCGCUGCGGGAGAAGCUGAGCCGUCACUCUGGUGUUGUUGCUGGAGCUGGUUCCUUGUUGACCAUGGACCACGGGUCUCCGGGCUCAGGCCCAGGUUCCAGCCCGCAUGGCCCAGAUGUACAACGAGUUGAGUCCCUGACCGACACCCUGCCUUCGCCGGUGAUCGAUCACAGCCACUCAGCGACGCUUGUGGCUUCCCAGCUGCAGCCUCAGCCGCGAGCCCUCCAGUCCGGGCUCUGGCUGAAGGCCCUGCACCUCCUCCUGGCCCUGAAAGGGCUCGUCUGCUCCUUCCCGUGGGUCCAGCAGGUGCUGCAGCUCCAGAGAACCCUGUUGAGGAGCUCUGGAUCAGCCACACAGGACCUGCUGGCUCUCCUGGCCUCCAUCGCUCGUGGCUUCACUGAGGCAGCGUUGAUCCUCCACAGGUCUCUCCGUGGGGCCUUCCCUCCGGGCACCACCUUCCCAUGUGGGACUUCACCCAGGGAAGAGGACUCCCCAGAGAGGACCUUCUUCUCUCGGCCCCCGCUGCGGGAGAAGCUGAGCCGUCACUCUGGUGUUGUUGCUGGAGCUGGUUCCUUGUUGACCAUGGACCCCGGGUCUCUGGGCUCCGGCCCAGGUUCCAGCCCGCAUGGCCCAGAUGUACAACGAGUUGAGUCCCUGUCCGACACCCUGCCUUCGCCGGUGAUCGAUCACAGCCACUCAGCGACGCUUGUGGCUUCCCAGCUGCAGCCUCAGCCGCGAGCCCUCCAGUCCGGGCUCUGGCUGAAGGCCCUGCACCUCCUCCUGGCCCUGAAGGGGCUCGUCUGCUCCUUCCCGUGGGUCCAGCAGGUGCUGCAGCUCCAGAGAAGCCUGUUGAGGAGCUUUGGAUCCGCCACACAGGACCUGCUGGCUCUCCUGGCCUCCAUCGCUCGUGGCUUCACUGAGGCAGCGUUGACCCUCCACAGGUCUCUCCGUGGGGCCUUCCCUCCGGGCACCACCUUCCCAUGUGGGACUUCACCCAGGGAAGAGGACUCCCCAGAGAGGACCUUCUUCUCUCGGCCCCCGCUGCGGGAGAAGCUGAGCCGUCACUCUGGUGUUGUUCCUGGAGUUGGUUCCUUGUUGGGGAACAUCGACCCCGGUUCUCCGAGCUCCGGCCCAGGUUCCUCCCCACAUGACACGGAUGAAGAAUGGUUUGAGGCCCUGACUGACACCCUGUCUGUUCCGGUGAUCAUCCACAGCGUCUCACUGAAGCUUAUGCUGUGCCAGCUGCUCCUGCAGCUGGAGCCGCGAGCCCUUCGGACGGGGAUCUCGCUGAAGGCCCAGGGCCUCCUCCGGGACCUGAAGGAGCUGCUCUGCUCCUUCCCUUGGGUCCAGGUGACGGAGGAGAAACAGGAGGCCAACACCUUCCGCUAGUCCACCGCUGUCUACCAGGUAACCCAGCGUGUGCUGGACAGUCUGGAGCGGACCCUGGGCCCCAGGUGUGUUCUGAGGGAAGCAGGGGCCUUCUCCUCCCUGCUCCUCCAACACCACCUGCUCCACCUGGUGGCUCUCAACACGGCCCGGCUGCUUCCAGACGAGGAGUCUGCUCGUCAGCAGAGACAGGUGGUGGCUGCCCCCCGCCCUCUCCCUCCACCCUUCUCCGUCAGCUCUGAGCUGGUGAAGGUCCUCCUGGUUCAGCUGGUGCUCACGCUGCACCCUGUGGACGCUUCUGGGGACCAGGCGCUGAGUCCCCGGGACCUCCAGGAGCUGUUGGACCAUUUGACCGCAGUCAUCCAUCGUAUCCUGGACCACACCCCCGGGGUGGCUGUGGACAGCGGCUCUCCCCUUCCACUGUGCAACACCCUGCGGCCGGUGCUGCAGCUCCAGAGCACCCUGUUGAGGGAGUUUGAGUCGGCCACACAGGAACUGCUGGCUCGGAGAGACCCAGCUCUCCUGGCCUCCAUCGCCAAUGGUGUCGCUGAGGCAGUGUUGACCAUCUACAGGUCUCUCCGUGGGGCCUUCCCUCCGGGCACCACCUUCCCAUGUGUGACUUCACCAAGGGAAGAGGACUCCACAGAGAGGACCUCCUCCCUGACCUCUGUGGAGGACAGGGAGGAACAAGGGGAUGGCCAGAGGAAAGCCCACAACCUCUGCCCUCUGGUCGAGGUCCCUCUGCUCGAGGUCCCUCUUGUCGAGGUCCCUCUGCUCGAGGUCCCUCUGCUUGAGGUCCCUCUGGUCGAGGUCCCUCUGCUUGAGGUCCCUCUGGUUGAGGGACCCCCCAUUUUCACGAAAGGGAAAAGAAAAACAGUGACCUGGAAGGAUCCUCUGGAGAGUACGGAGCCGGUCGCUCCGUGCUCUCAGAAGAAGAAGCGGAGGAAGAAGAAGUGGUACUCUCGCUUCAGAGGACUGUUCUGUUGUUGCAGUGGCC